AACGAACGCUGGCGGCAUGCCUAACACAUGCAAGUCGAACGAGACCUUCGGGUUUAGUGGCGCACGGGUGCGUAACGCGUGGGAACCUGCCCUUAGGUUCGGAAUAACUCCCCGAAAGGGGUGCUAAUACCGGAUAAUGUCUUCGGACCAAAGAUUUAUCGCCUUUGGAUGGGCCCGCGUUGGAUUAGCUAGUGGGUAGGGUAAAAGCCUAUCAAGGCGACGAUCUAUAGCUGGUCUGAGAGGAUGAUCAGCCACACUGGGAGUGAGACACGGCCCAGACUCAUGCGGGAGGCAGGAGUGGGGAAUAUUGGACAAGGGGCGAGAGCCUGAUCCAGCAGUGCCGCGUGAGUGAUGGAGGCCUUAGGGUUGUACAGCUCUUUUACCCGAGAUGAUAAUGACAGUACCGGGAGAAUAAGCUCCGGCUAACUCCGUG
rnacentral:rRNA from 1 species